GACGAACGCUGGCGGCGUGCUUAACACAUGCAAGUCGAACGGAAAGGCCUCUUUCGGGUGGUACUCGAGUGGCGAACGGGUGAGUAACACGUGAGUAACCUGCCCUUUACUUUUGGAUAACUUCUGGAAACUGGGGCUAUUACCGGAUAGGAGCUCCUGCUGCAUGGUGGGGGUUGGAAAGUUUCGGCGGUUGGGGGUGGACUCGCGGCUUAUCAGCUUGUUGGUGUGGUAGUGGCUUACCAAGGCUUUGACGGGUAGCCGGCCUGAGAGGGUGACCGGCCACAUUGGGACUGAGAGAAGGCCCAGAAUCCGAAGGGAGGAAGCAGGGGGGAAUAAUGCACAAGGGGUGGAAGCCGGAUGCAGCAACGCCGUGGGCGGGAUGACGGGCUUCGGGGUGGAAACCGGGUUCGGUCAUGACGAAGCUUUGUGUGACGGUAGUGGGUAAAGAAGCACCGGCUAACUACGUG
rnacentral:rRNA from 1 species